CAGGCAUCUGGGUCAGAAGACAAGAAUUUCCAGGGGAAGUCCUCAGUCAUCCUGGUGCUUCCCCAAGUGAUGGUGGGAAUCUGACACUCAGAGGGAAUGAAGGGAACUGGAGGAAGAGCCAUCCUUGAGACAGUACAGCAAAGGACUUGGCUGAGUUAUGUCUCUGUCCUAAAACUUCUGGGAAGGCAGGAUUUAAAGCCCUGAACUAGGGAAGUUGGCUGAAGAAAUCUCUUAUGUGUUCGAGAGCUGAGUGGCUAAUAUGGUGCCUGGCUUCUUCCUGUCCUAGAGAGCAAGAUGCUGAGGCUACAGAGCUGAGAGAAACAAACUCCCAAGUAAAAAAGAGGAGAUAUCAUAAGGGUACCAAGUCAUAAUGUACUCACAGCCAAGUCUAGUGAUGAAGGCCCCACAUUGACAAAGAAAUACAAAGAAGCAACUACCAGGGCCUAAUGUAGCUUACUAAGAAUGGACGCUCAGCUGCCAUGGAAACAAAGCAAGUAGCAUCCUCUGGGACCAGCAAAAUACCAAAGUCCUUACUUCCUUAGGCCAGGGAGUUUGUCACCCAAUGGACUACAGAAGCCUAUCCAGUUGAAUAAGCUGUGGCCUCCUCUCUCCGGCCGACAGAGAACAGGUCAGGACUCUUCAUCCUGCUCUGAGACCUGAAGGAAACAUUCCCAAGUUCAUGUAUAAAGAGAAGAAUAUGCAGCAUGUAUGUCUAAUCUCCCCCUCAAGGCGACACACUUGAAAACAGAAAUCAAGAUUUAUCUCUCUAACUGUAAUCAUUCUAAAAGCCAGACAGAAUUAAUAGUGUUUCAUUUUGGGGGGAAAUUGUCUAAAGUUAAUAUAAAUUACUUAGGCUAUUAUUGAAAAAUCACAUAUAUAAAUCUGAUGUUUCUCUCAGGAUUGUGUUUGCAGAUUUAUAGACCCUAUGUAAUAUAAAUGAGAAUGAGGAAACAACGAUCUUAUUCAAUAUUCUCAUGCUGCACACAGUAAAUGGUCUAUAUCCACACCACUUUCUCUUUGCUCAGGCCACUCUGGCCUGCAGCUGCUCUCUGAAUCUACCAGGUUCUGUCCUGCGAUCCCUAAGUGGUGUAGCACAGGCUUUCUCUCGGAUGGAAGCCCUUUCAAUGUCCCUCCUUGUGAGUGACCUCCCUGAUUGCCUACUCAGCAUCACCCUCACCUCCAAACUCUCGCAGGUGUCCAAGCCCUUCGCUAUGGCUCAGCUCCAUCUGCCUGGGACAGCUUGGGUAUCACUACUAAAUUGCUUCAGAGGAACAUUUUGGAUUUUGUAUUCUUUCAGAUGUUGUAACAUUUUCAUUCACAUAAUGAGACGUCUUGGGAUGAAAACCAAGCCUAAGCAUGAAAUUCAUUUAUGUAUCACAUAUGCAUACCUGAAAUGUUAUAUAAUAUUUUUAGUGUGAAUAUAUUUUGACUAGGCCUGUCACAUCAAGUCAGGUAUAGAAUCUUUCCAUUUGUGGUCUCGUGUUAGCACUGAUGAGAACAUUUUCUAUUUCAGGACAUUUCAAAUGUCUCAUUUCUGAGUUAGGGAUGCUCAACCUGAAAUAGCCUUCGCUGGUUUUCCACUAGGCAGAGCUGCCCGAUAGGUGUGACUUAUGCAGCCACAUACAGCCCUACCCUCUAAGGAUCUACUCUUGGUUAUGCUCUGCCAUCACCCUUUUGAAUGCGUACUGCAUGAGGUCCAUCGGGAAACAGGAACAUGUGGCCAACGGAGCAGUUCACGUGUCCACUGUUCCUUUCUACCUCAUUUGCAUGUGGCUUUCUCAGUGUCCUAUGAAAAUAGAAUUCCAAAACAUGUGAAAGAUGAGUGAGACUCAAAGCCAAGUGCAUUUGUGAGUCAGCAGUGAGUAAGUACACUGACAGCCCCAAGAGGACAGAAAAAAAGGCAACUACAUUCUAAAUAGGAGCUAACUACCUAUCCCAGAUAGCAGGACGCAGAAAGAAAGCUGACACCACUUACAAUUCACUUUCCUUUUUUAUCAAGGUAGAAAAGUAGCAGGUAGAAUAUGGACAUCCCAUGGGGUGAAAUAAAACAACUGAUUGUUUGGGGUAGCAUUUUCACUGCAUAACUUUAGGGAUUCCAUAUGCAAGUUUAGAGGCCCCAUGUGAACAUUUAAAAAAAAAAAAAAACAAGCAUUGCAUAAUAUAAAAAUGAGAGUAAAUUUCAAAAUCAUUACUUAAUAUUUAAAAUAUUCUCCACACUGAAUUAUACUGAACAACAAAUUUUAAAAACGACCAUAAAUGAAGAGUCUGCAGAAAUACUGGUACUGUUUCCUGAAUUUUGAAUGAAGGGCUUCAGGCUUUCACUCUGCAUUGGAUCCAGCUAAUGAGACAGUGAGCCUGCCACUAUGACAGGAAUGUUCAGAACACAGGGCCUCUGCUUCAAGAACAGAUCUAUGUAAGUGUCGUACACAAUACCAUUUUGCGCUCGUUCAAUUUCAUUAAGUGUUUAUUAGACAUGAGGAAGAUGCAAUAAUACCAAAAGACCUUAGAAGCCAAGAAAACUCUUGUCCCCUUUUCUGCUCUGUGGGGGAUGUACCAUAGCCACAGAGCUACAUUUAGACAGGGGCAUAGACAAGGACCCAUCAGAGAACACCCGGGUCAAACUGGGUCCUAUGUUUGUUAGCUAUGUAAUCAAACAGAAGGGAAUGAACCCUGGUGAGUCUCAAUUUUCACUUUUGGGAAACACGGAUAAUAAAGCAUGUCAAAAGAUGAGGAAAGUGGAAGGCAAUUUGGAAAUAAGCUUGCUGUACAUUAAGUGUUUGUGUUUCAAAAGCUACCAGGUCUCUACAAAAGAUUAGCGGGAUAGCGGGUGGCCUCUCAGCAAGACCUGGGGAAGACAAGACGACCUAGGAGGAACAGAAACAACAAGGUCUACCAGUUGGAUGUCUGACACAGAAAACAUUUAAGAAUGAGUGUAAGGUAAGCUGGGGAGAUAGUUAGGCCAGGAAAGUAUUUGCUGUGUAAGCAUGAAGACCUGCGUUGAAUACUCAGCACAUAAAGGCUAGGCAUAGUGGCAACACUUAUACAUAAUCCCAGUGCUGGGGAGGAAGAGACAGGAGGACCUCUCAUUUUUGGCUAGCCAGUUUAGCCAAAUCAGUGAGCUCUGGGCCAAGUGAGAGACCCUGUCUCAACAGACACAAUGAAGAAUGAGUGAGGAAAACACAUGCCCUCUGUCCACACAUGCACACACGUGCACACACACAAACAUGUAUACAUGAAAACAUGCACAUGCUGAGAAUGCAAUGUAGAGCUGGCGAUGUACUCAGGGUGCUCUGUGAGGUCACACAGUAGGGAUCAGGGAUGGUAAAGCAUUUAAUCCCAGCACUGCAGGCCAUUACUAUUUCCAGGCCAACCAGGGCUACAUAGCAAGACUGUCUCCAAUUUUUAAAAAACUUAGGGACUAGCAGAAUAAAGUAAUGAUAAGAAAGAAAAAGCAACAUGAAUAAGAAUUUCCUAAAGAAGCAAACCAUGGACCUGUCUAGGAUAUAAUAAAUUGUCUGUCCCUGGAGAUAAUGAAAAUAUAAUGGAAAACAUAGUUUGAAGGAACAUGUAACACUAGAUAAGGACUAGACAUGAAGCAGCAAUAGAAACACGGAUGGUAGAUGUUAUUUCUUGGUGCAUCUUAAUGUCUAAACACCCUGAGAAGUACUUCACAUACACUAUCUUUUUAAAUCCUAACUACAAAUUCAUGGGGUAGAGAACACCUCUCAUUAUCCUAGCUAUUGAGGGUACUGAAGAAUAUUCCUUUGUCCAUGGUCACAAAAGCAUCUCCCUUCUAGUGAAUUCAGUUCAAAUUCCAAGAUUCAGAGAAAUUGGGCACAUUUACUCAAAUGCUAAAAGAAAUGAGAAUGACUACAAAUCCCAGUCUGAAUGUGAAACACUCCCCAAAUAGCAUCCUCCUUUUCACACAAACACGGCAGCAUCCAUCUGGACCAUGAGGAAACCUAAAAGACACACUGUGUCUGGCCAGGAGAAUGACAUCACUAUGAAACAGAACCUUUAAAAAAAGCAAGAAAACAAAGGUGUUUGGAUUCCCCCCCAGCCCCCGCCCGCCUACCAGAACGUGACCCAGAGUAUUGAGCUACCAGCUUGUCCCCAUCUCCACAGAAACACUGAAUUGGGGCUCCUGAGCUCUGUCUCCAGCAAGAAUCACUGAACCUGGAACCUCUGCCUCUACCUUGGCAGCAAUAGGGGAGAUAGGCCUCUGAGGUAGCAUCUCUAUCCCGUAGGAAGACAUGUUAUGCAGCUUUUUACACUUUAACAUCUUGAUGCUCCAUCUAGGAAAGCCACAGUUGGGUACCUUGAAGUGUGGCAGGUGUGUGAGUACCUCUUGGUGGGCUACUGUUCACUUCCCUAGCAGAAAGGCCAGAGCACAAACCAAACCAAGGUCUGUGGAAGCUAAGCUGGGAUACUCACUUCAAGGUCUCCAGUCCCGGGCUGCCGAAGCCCAGUGUAAACUACCUGUUAGGGUCCUCUUGAGAUGACAUCAGCACAAUUUCCAACUGAAAAUUAAGAAUUGGAAGGCUGACAACUCUUGUUCCUAAACACAUUUGAACUCUUAAUCUUCUCAUACUCAACAAAGUACACUAUGAGUACAGGUGCCUUAGAAACAUACUUUUUCAAAUAAGGGAAAGACAGGGCAAAGAAGUGAGAGCCACCAAAGAUACUGGAAAUUGGCAGGGAAAUGAUAUCAUAGCUGUUCCUCUACUUCACACUGGUGAUGGUAUUAAAGCUCCUAUACAGAUGCCUUAAACACACACACACACACACACACACACACACACACACGAGAGAGAGAGAGAGAGAGAGAGAGAGAGAGAGACAGACAGACAGACAGAGAGACAGACAGAGAGAGGCAGAGACAGACAGAGAGAGAGAGAGGAAGAGAGAAAGAGAGAAAGAGAAAGAAUUGGACGAAACCCUGAAGCUACAAGUAGGAAGAAAAUGAGAAUCCUGAAUAUUUCAUUAGUAUAAAAAUGUCCCAAUAAAAGCUUUACCACUGAAGACAGUUAUUCUGGGCUAUCUGAUCAGCAGUACAACUCCUUAUCUCUCCCCAUCACCAGAGCAGUUUGGAUACUUGAAGCAACAUAAUAUAUUACACUGUAAUACCUAUCUGCUUCAAACGCAGUCGGAAAACACCGGCACCACAUAAAUCAUACAUGGCAUCGCAUUAGAUCUUUUAAAUAAUGUUGUGAACACCAGGAAAAUAUUCCAGGGAUCCAUUUUUCAUGUUUCUUUUGUUACGGCUCAAAUGGAAGUGGCUACUUUGCUUCUCCAUCAGUUCCUUUCAAUUAAAUAAAUCAAAUGUGUGCAAAAGGCUUUCACCCAUGAAAGGAAGUGCAUGCAGCUGACAAACAGGAAUGGCCCCUGUCCGUGCCCAUGGCCCAGAGUGCUUGUUCCAGCAGGCCUGUCCUCCUCCAUGUGCCCUCCCUCUUAUUCGUCUGCUGCCUGCUUGCCUCCUCUUUGGCAUCUGUUUCAUCAGAGCUUCUAGCACUGACAGAAAGGGAGGGAGUUCCCGAACGAACCCCUAGGCAUCCCUCGCUCCUGGCAGCAUGAUCAUACCACAACAAUGAAAUAAUCUAUGUAUGUGCAAUUCGCACAAGGACCUCUUUAUCUGUUUCUGCAUCGCCUUGACAAACAAGAGUGGGAACUCAAGAGACACAAAUAGCGAAAUAUAGAUUGUAUAAAAAGUAGUAAAGAAUGCCUCUGUAAUAGAUUCUAGCAAUGGAUUUUGCAGGAAAUUCAACUGUAAACUAAAAAUGAGCCUAAAGAAUCUGGAAUUUUUCUAAUUCAUGUUUAACUAAUUCACCCUUCCUUUCUUCCUUCUGUUCUUCUGUCCUUCCCCAGCUCACACUUACAUUUGCUUUCAAGAGAGCUCGCCCCCACUACACAUAUUCACACACUUGGUUUCUCUUUAAAUCCAUGCUAGAAAUAUUUCUACAUCGUCCAGUGAGUGUAAAUGCAUCUGCUUGCUGUAAAUGCAAUACCUAAAGAAAUAUCCAUACCUAUAGAAAACCAACACUAUUGUUUUCUUACAUUUUUAAAGACAGCAGACAAGUGAAUGUGUAAAGCCCUGGGACAUUUUCACACAUCUCCUUAAACUUCGUUCUUAUUCACCCCAACUACUCUGCCUGAUUCCCCUGCUGCCAGUCUUGUUGGAACUUCUCCCUUUUUCAAAAUGAAAGCAGUACUGGUUCUCAUGCCAUAUGUGCAUAUGACCCUCCUUUUCCCUUUCCUCCUCCACCUUUUGUAAGAUCUCUUCUUCCCCCUUAAAACCCUCCUUUCAACUUUCAUAACACACACACACACACACACACACACACACACACACACACACACACACCUAUAUUGCAAAAAUAAGGGGGGGAAUGUGCUAUUUUUUCCUGACUCUAGGUUACUUAACUUGAUAUACUGGCUUCCAGUUCCAUGCAAAGACUUUGCUUUCACUAAUAUCUCAAAGUAAAUCAAUUGAAGAUAUGGGCAGAAGCAAAAAAAAAAUGUUCUGAAAAGGACUCAAACAGCAUAGCAAAUAAUUCUAAGAAUUGACAGACUGGAUGGCAUUGAAUUAAAAGGCUCCUGUGCAGCCAAGGCGUCACCGGCAGAGUGAAGAGACAGCAUGGGGAAUGGGGGGGAAUCUUUACCAACUAUAUAUUCAAAGGGACACAAACACCUAGAACCUAUUUUUAGAAUUCUGAACAUUAAGUACAAAAAGCCCCAAACCAUCUCAUCCGUCCAUGGACAAAUGAACUGAACAGACAGCUCUCAGUAGAAGAAGUGAAAAGGCUCUGCCCCUCAGGGGACCACAGUUUAGUUCCCAGCACCCACAUUAGGCAGCUCACUUCUUAUUGUUACUUUUAAUUUACUUUUAACUCCAGUUCCUGGGGAUCUGAUGCAUUCUAGUCUCCUCAGUCAACUCCAAUCACAUACCCACACACACACACCCUCCCCCCCCCACACAAACAUAUAAUUAAAAAAUUAACAAACUAGAACCUUUUUUGAAAUUACAAAAUGUAAAUAGCCAGUAAAGUGUUUGAGAAAGUGUUCAGCAUCCUUAGUCAUCAAGAAAAUGCAGACUACAACUGGUUUGAGAGUCUACAUCACCCCUGUCAGUAUUGCCAGUAUCAAGGAAAUAAUGAGCAGAUUAGGAUGACUGGGGGUGGUGGUGGGGUGGGGGAGGGGAAACACCCUCGUGCACUGUGAUGGGAAUGUAAACAGCCACUAUAGAGAACAAAACUACAUGAAGGUUCCUCACCAGCCUCAAACCGGGCUGCCCUGGGACCCAGCAUCCUAACCUUCCUUUCACACUGGAAGAAUUUUAAGGCAACAUCCCGGAGCUACUUUUGCACACACGUUCAUCCAUAACCUGCUCACGAAAGCUAAAAAGUGGAAUCAAACUAGAUUUCUAUUAACUGACGAAUGUAUAAAGAAAGUAUAGAUGAUGGUGUUAGAUUUUAACUCGGUUGUGAAGAGAAUUAAAUCAUGACAUUCGGAGGAAAUGGGUAGAAGUGGCCCUAUUUUCAUCAUGGGAGCACUGAUAGAUUGGAAAAGGGGAGAAUGACAUAAACAUAAACGAUCUUGCUUAUAGAAAAUUGAAAUAUUAUCAUAGGAAUGUACUGCUCACCUCCCUUAAUUAUUACAUAGUACAUCUAGACUAUUUUGACUUUAGAAUGAAAGAAUAAACUAUUGAUUUUAUGACUGGCAUUUAUUGAUUUACUUUCCAUAUAUACAUAUAUACUAAAUGGUGUGUGUGUGUGUGUGUGUGUGUGUGUGUGUGUGUGUGUGUGUGUGUGAGUGCCUGACCACAUGUAUGUGUACCACAUGAAUGCCUUGUGCACACAAAGGUCAGAAGAAGGAGUCAGAUACUCUCUAGCUAGAAUUACAGGAUUCUGAUGUGGAUGCUGGAAAUUGAGCCUAGAACCUCUACAAGAACAUACAGUACUCUGAACCACUGAAG
ensembl:lncRNA